AUUGAGAUGAUGUUCUAGAAAAACUAAAAUGAAUCUAUAGUUACAGAAAUCAGGUAAGUGGUUACCUGGGAUGGGAUGGUUAGGAUGGGAUUAACUACAAAAGAGAAAUAGGGAAGUUUCUGGGGUGCUAUAAAUAUUUUGAUUGAUUUAACAGUUACUGAGUGUAUAUAUUUGUUAAAAUUCAUCAAAGUCUACAUUGAAGUGUAUGCAUUGUAUUAUAUGUAAAUUAUGCCUCAGUACAGUAGAUUUUUUUAAAAUGUUCUCGUAGCUCCCCAUUGAACACAGGUGUCAUCAUGGCAAGACAUUUCCUAGCUGAGAGAUGCUUUUUCAUUCUUUCAUUCAAAAAGUAGCUUUUUCUUUCCUUCCUUCCUUCCUCUCUUUCUUUCUCUUUCUCUCUUUCUUUCUUUUCUUUCUUUCUCUUUUUUUUAGUGGCAAGGUCUUGUUUUGUCACCCAGGCUGGAGUGCAGUGGUGUGAUCAUAGCCAAUAGAGGGUGCACAGGCACGGGAGCUCAGGUGAGGCAGGGAGCUGAGCUCACCUGACCUCCCAUGCCUGUGCACCCUCUAUUAUAUCACUCGUAUGUCUACCAUUGUUUGCAGAUCGUGAGCUGCUUGAUGACUGAUGCUAGGGUGACCAACCAACCAAGUAUGCCCCAAACCAAAGGGUUUCCUGGGCUUCCUGAGCUAAGGGAUGUUCAGUGCUAAAACUGGGAGGCCCAGGCAAACGGGGAAAAUGGGUCACCUUAUCUGAGACCUUGUGCUACUCAUCUCUGAAAGCAUUCCCAGGCUUAGCCCCCUAUCAGGUGGGUGAUGUAUGCUCAGUAAAUGUUUCCUGAAAGGCUAGAAUAUGUGUGAGUAGGACACUUGAAAUUCUCCUUUGGUUUCCCAUGCAAACUGAGUCCUACAGUGAGAAAGCCAAGCGUAGUGGCAGAUCCUGCCCCAGACACCAGGCUCGCUUGGGUCCUGCCUAGGGCGCCAGCCUCUCUCCCAUGUCAUUGGUGUUCUGGAAAGCAGAUAAACAACUGACUUCAAGUCCUAUUUAAGUUUUAUGGGGUAGCCAAGGUCUUCCAGGGCUCCAUCUCCAGGAAGCCCCCUCCCUGCAGCCUGGCUGGCUUUUCUUCUUCUUCUGGUGAAGUCAUCCGACCCCAAGUGGCCCACAGUUUCCUUUCUCUCCACACCUCCCAAACCCGCUGCCCAGUCCUGGCACUGCCUGGGGUUACUGCUGACCUUUCAGUGCUGUUUGCUCAGAAAGUGCCUUUAUGUCAACACAAACAGCCUUCAGGUUUGCCAGGGCCUGGCUCCUUUUCUCCCUGGGGUCCAGGGUAGAAAAACAAUAACCAGUGGGAAGGAGAGCGAGCCAUAGGGGAGUGACGCGUCCCUGGACCUUGGGUCUCUGUCCUCUCAGCCCUGUCCCUCAGGGCCUCCUUUGUCAGAACUCAGUUCUGUGGGGAGAGGGUACUGGGGAGGCAGCGGCUUUAAACAAUGCCACAGUGUCUGGCAGGGAGCUGCGUGCUUGACCUGAUUAGGCUCAGUGAGCCCGGGGGAGGGAGGGAGUGAAGGCAGGCUUGGGAAAGUGUUUUCCAUCCCCACCCAACAGACUUUGCUUCCUUGUAUCUCUGCCAAGACCUCUUUUUGGGGAGGAAAGGCCGAAUCGCCUCAUUUCUACAGGGGCACCUUGGCCUCGCUCCUCUAAACCUGGGUAAGCUCUUUGACCUGCCUGUCCCCCUCCCUCUUGUCUUUCCUUCCCACCAACCAGCUCCCAAACAGAAAGUGUUUUUCACACUCGCAGCUCUCCCUCCUCAGGCCCUGCCAGGCCCGAAGCUGGGCCCAGAGGCCAGCUGGCACCCACAUGAAAGGCCUUCCUGUCGAGAACUGGCAUGGAACCCAGGGCCUCAAGGCUGCCCACACCACAGCCCUGGCCCAGGGUCCAGAGCACAGGGCCACGGAAACUUGGCCACAAGGCUCUGGGGAGAAAAACAGCCUGAGCCGCACAGGAGAGGAGCCUCCCAUCCCCGCAGCCUGGCUGGGCACAUCAAGGGAGAAAGCGCAGUGCCCAGAAUCCUUUGAACAUGAAGCCGCAGCACCUGCACCUGGCAGAGGACCCGGGAACCAGGGAUUCGUGCUGGGGGCAGCACUUGGGGUUUGUUAGUGCAGGUGGAGAGAAAACAGGAGAGUAGCAAUUUCCAACCCAUCAGCAGAAAAAAGUGAAAGCUGAGAAGUCAGGGUGAGGCUGGAGGGGACAGGAUGGGGUGGCUGGGUGGGCCCAGAAUUGAGAUCUGAUUUGCAAAAUGGUGGCAAAAGGCAACAGACUGCGGCUCCCUUGAGAGAAAAACCUGGUCUCCCAACCGGCAAUGGGUGUGGUUAUCAAACGCACAGCCAUGCCUGUUCCCAGGAUGCAGGUGCAGUCUGGAUAAACUGAGACUAGGGUUGGGGGGGAUCUGUUCAAGGUUGCACAGCACCUUCAAGAUGGGGCUUGAACUACAAACCCAGGACUCCGGACCUGGAAAGAAUCUCCUAGGAGGUUCUGGAGGGUUCAUUCUUGGACAGAAAUCUGGGAGAACCUACAGCAAAAUGGCAACAAUGUGAUUGUGGGUAACUU
rnacentral:lncRNA from 1 species